rnacentral:lncRNA from 1 species
CUGCUGUGUAGGCCCGGGCUGUAGCUGUGGAGAGGCCUGUGGCGGCGGCAGCGGUGGAGCUGCGUGAGGAGCGGGAAGACCGUGACCACCAAGCUCAGUGCGCAAGGCCGCCAACCCGGCGCGGGUGGGGUGAGCACGGGAGACCCGCGCCACGCAGGACUCGGGCAGUCGGUGUGGGACCGGCCGUACCCGCCAAAAUUUCCCCACUGAGGGACCGGGUGAGGCCGCCUCCCUCCGGUGGGCGGGGGUGUGGUGGGGUGGCUUCCGAGCAGAGCUGUGGGUUCCUGCCAUUCGGCCCUCUCGUGGUGGGCGGAGCCUGCGGAGCAGAGCUGUAGGUUCCCGCCAUUCUGCCCUCGCGUGGUGGGGUGGCUGCAGAGCCGAGCUGUCGGUUCCCGCCAUUCUGCCCGCGCGUGGUGGGCGGGGCCUGAGGAGCUGAGCUGUGGGUUCCCGCCAUUCCGUCCUCGCGUGGUGGGCGGGGCCCGCGCUGUCCUCUGGGAGCGGUGCUGGCGCGAGGGUGAAGCGGCUCCACAGACCAGCGCGGGUCGGGCGGGAGGCCCGUGGCCCCGGAGCCGCCGCAGCCGCAGCUUCAAGAUUCCCCUGCAGGACCUGGAGCAGGAGGAGCCCUCCAUGAUAAUGAGCAUCUGCUCAGGAAUCUGUUACCUUUGGGGCCCUGAAGAGGCCACAGCUGCUGCAAGGGUAAGAGGAGUGGGUCCUGUGUGGUGAGUGUCACUGGGAGGAGUGUGGCAGAGUGGGCAGGAUGGCGUUGUCACCUGACUGAGAUAAUUUCUGUUAAUGAAUUUGGCUCCAACCUCAAAUUUCUACCUCCUGAACUUCUUAAGUUUACCUUCUGUUUUACCAUCUUUUGGUUGUAGGAAAUGUACAGGUGCCUGGCUGUGGGUUGUGUUGCUUAGGUGUUCAGGUGCCUGUGCACCAUUCCCUUCCUUUCCUCUUGAGUUGGUGUGCACAAACAAGAAUGAAUGAGCUUGUUUGAUCCUGUCUUACCUCUUAGAGGUAAUUUUAAGUGUUUCUUGUUUAUUUUUAUGCUGUUUAUGCAAUUAUCAUAAAAAUAAAAAUUCUUAUCAC